rnacentral:rRNA from 1 species
GAUGAACGCUAGCGGCAGGCCUAACACAUGCAAGUCGAGGGGCAUCGCGGUGCAGCAAUGCACUGGCGGCGACCGGCGUACGGGUGCGUAACGCGUAUGCAACCUGCCCCGCACCGGGGGGAUAGCCCGCCGAAAGGCGGAUUAAUACCCCAUGGUCCCGGGGGCCCGCAUGGGCAUCCGGGUAAAGCCUUGGCGGUGCGGGAUGGGCAUGCGUGCCAUUAGCUGGCUGGUGGGGUAACGGCCCACCAGGGCAACGAUGGCUAGGGGGUCUGAGAGGGUGAACGGCCACACUGGUACUGAGACACGGACCAGACUCCUACGGGAGGCAGCAGUAAGGAAUAUUGGGCAAUGGUCGAAAGACUGACCCAGCCAUGCCGCGUGCAGGAUGAAGGCCCUAUGGGUUGUAAACUGCUUUUAGCCGGGAAUAAACACCCGUUUUAUAACGGGCCCGAAGGUACCGGCUGAAUAAGCAUCGGCUAACUCCGUGCCAGCAGCCGCGGUAAAAUCACGU